rnacentral:lncRNA from 1 species
CUGGUAAAAUUUAACUACUUGAACAUUUUAAAAUUAGACAUAAACUAGACAUUUUAAAAUCUGGAGUUAGGCAACAAGAGGAACAGAAAAUUAAGAGACCAAAAGUUCCUCAGCCUGACUGAAUUCCCUGGAUCUGUAUCUUGUAUAGAAGAGUUAGGGUAUAUAUUUAUAGAAACUGGAUUACACAGUUUAAAUAAAUAAACAUGAGGUACAUUUAGUACAAGUCAGAUAUCCAGUCAUUUUUAAUGAAAUACACAUUAUAACCACAGAAAAUCUCAUGAUUAUCAAACUUUAGCCUAAUACAGGUUCUUUUUGUCUUGCGUUAUUUUUUUUUUGUCUUUUUGUCUUGUUGUUGUUGUUGUUGUUGUUGCUAUUUCUUGGCCUUUAUGAUAAUUUGUCGUUUUUCACUCUACUUCCUCUGUCCAGAUGUAAGAAAAAGUAAAGAUAAGUGCUGGUUAAAUUUUUCCAAAAUCUGAACAAAAUUCAUACAGCAUUCUAAAUUAAAUGAAUAUUAGAAUAGUAACUUCAGGCAGAGCAUACUGAAUGAUGGGCCAUCUUUUGCAGUCCUCUGAAACAACAGACAUCAGUCUAUCCUAACAGUAGGAGACUUAGUUAAAGGAAAAGCCAAGAGGAAGCUCCCCUCUGGCACAGCAGGUUAAGGAUCUGGCACUGCCACAACUGUGGCAUGGUUUCCAUCCCUGGCCUGGGGAACUUCCAAAUGCCAGGCCAAAAAGGAAAAGGAAAAGUCAAGAGAUGAAUCAAGUUCUCAGUACUCAAAGGAGUAGGGUAUAUAGAGAGUUUAUCUUUUUUUCUUUUCUUUUGGUCUCACCAUUAGCAUGUGGAAGUUCCCAGGCCAGGUAUUAAACUCAACCCACUGAAGUGACAACACUGGAUCCUUAACCCCCUGCUGAGCCACAGGGGAACUCCAAUAUAAGAGUCUCUUCAUUGAGUAAUUAAUUUCUCAAUUUCAGAGUGGGAAUCAAGUUGCAGUUUAAUUCAAAAGCCCUAUUUUCUGUUUAAUCUAUGAUAAUAGGAGCAAUAAAUCUUUCUUCUUCAUUAAUCUUCAUUUAAAAUAACCUAAGAUGCUCUGAAUAUAUUUAAUUUUAAUAGUUAACUAUGAUUUCUUUGAUUUUUCACUAGGUACAGGAUAUUUUUAUUACAAAAGGUCCAUGUCAAAGUUAAUAUCCCUUUUAUUGAUAAACUAAGCCAUAAUUUUCCUGAAGAAAAUAUAAAGGACAAUUUCCCACAGUUUUGAGAAAAAGACAAAGGUAUUUUCAGGCAUUAAAUCUACAAAAACGCUCAUAUAUAGCAGGGGAGUUUGAAAUAGAAAAAAAAAGUGGGGGGAAAGAAAAGGAAAGAAAUCUAGGCAAAGGGUUCAAAGAAGAGUGCUGUGAGAAGUUGUGACAAAAAUGGUUUUCUAAAUGGUUACAAAAUAUCAGUUUUCUGUGAGUUAAUUUCACAUUAUGCAAGAUUAUCUGUAUUUCAUACAAGUUCAACAUGUCAAACUACAUUCACAAGAUUCUACUUUUGUCUUCAAAAGUUACAAAGCCCCUUUUAACAUUUUAUGUUAGAGUAAGAUUAUUCUUAAAUUUGAUUAAACUAAUAGAGGAAGAUACCUGUCAACUACAAAGAAAUGAAAAUUAUACCUCUGCCUCUUAAAAAUACACUUAAAGGGAGUUCCCAUUGUGGCUCAGCAAGUUAAGGACUCAACACAGAGUCCAUGGGAAUGCGGGUUCAAUCUCCAGCCUUGCUCAGUGGGUUAAGGAUCUGGCACUGCCACCAGCUGUGGCAUAGAUCACAAAUGCAGCUCAGAUCCAGGGUAAGCCAAGGCCGUGGCAUGUGGCACAGACCUCAGCUUCAGCUCCAAUGCAACUCCUAGCCCAUCAGCUACCAUAUGCCACAGGUGAGGACAUAAAAAGAAAAAUAAAAUUAAUAUUAAAAUUAGAAAUUAAAAAUAAAAGAAGAACCUCCCCCCCAAAAAAGGGUAUGGAAAGAUAAGAGAAAACCAUGAACAGUAGUUAGCUCUUAGGAAGGCAGGCAGAUAAUAAAGCAAAUAGUAAUUCUCCCAUAUUCUAUUUUACAUAUUUCUAAAAAAAAUUAAAUAAUGAGCAUUACUUUCCCAACCAUUUCAUAAACACCCACAUUCUCUAUUCAAUCCUACAACCAAUCUUCUCCCAUCUUUGCUCAGCUUCCCUCUUCACUGAAAAAAACUGAAAGUAUCAGAAAACUUCCACAAACUAAAAACCCUUCAUUUACCCACUCACCAGCUCUAUACCUACAUACUUCGCCUCCCUCCAGUGAACUUGUCAAGUAUAUAUUCCCACAAUUCCUCAAUCUUUUUUCUACAUCAAUUUUUCACAUAUUAAUUAAUCAUUCACCUCAGCACAGAAAUACAUUUUCAAUUUCUUUUAAAAAAUCUUCUCUGGAACACAUUAUCUUCUCUAGAUACUACCCUAUUUCUUUGUUUCCGUUUGCAACAAAAUAUCUCAAAAGAACUCUCUGUAUUUGCUAUUUCCAACCUCUCCCAUCCCAUUCUUUCUUAAACUCACUCCUCUAAGACUUUUACCCCCGCUAUGCCACCAAAACAGUGAGUCAAGCUUACCAUUUAACUCUUUGCUGCUAAGCUCAGUCCACAUCUUAAACUUGACCAAUCAGCAA